rnacentral:rRNA from 1 species
AUUGAACGCUGGCGGCAGGCCUAACACAUGCAAGUCGAACGAGUGGCGGACGGGUGAGUAAUGUCUGGGAAACUGCCUGAUGGCGGGGGAUAACUACUGGAAAAGGUAGCUAAUACCGCAUACAAUCAGAGGUGCCCAGAUGGGAUUAGAUUGUUGGUGGGGGACAGGCUCACCAAGGCGACGAUCCCUAGCUGGUCUGAGAGGAUGACCAGCCACACUGGAACUGAGACACGGUCCAGACUCCUACGGUAGGCAGCAGUGGGGAAUAUUGCACAAUGGGCUAAAGCCUGAUGCAGCCAUGCCGCGUGUAUGAAGAAGGCCUUCGGGUUGUAAAGUACUUUCAGCGGGGAGUCGUUACCCGCAGAAGAAGCACCGGCUAACUCCGUGCCAGCAGCCGCGGUAAUUC